rnacentral:rRNA from 1 species
GUGGGGAAUAUUGGUCAAUGGGCGAGAGCCUGAACCAGCCAAGUAGCGUGCAGGAUGACGGCCCUAUGGGUUGUAAACUGCUUUUAUGCGGGGAUAAAGUGAGGGACGUGUCCCUUUUUGUAGGUACCGCAUGAAUAAGGACCGGCUAAUUCCGUGCCAGCAGCCGCGGUAAUACGGAAGGUCCGGGCGUUAUCCGGAUUUAUUGGGUUUAAAGGGAGCGCAGGCUGAUUGUUAAGCGUGACGUGAAAUGUAGCCGCUCAACGGCUGAACUGCGUCGCGAACUGGCAGUCUUGAGUGAGUACGACGUCAGCGGAAUUCGUGGUGUAGCGGUGAAAUGCUUAGAUAUCACGAAGAACCCCGAUUGCGAAGGCAGCUGACGAGUCCUUUACUGACGCUAAAGCUCGAAGGUGCGGGUAUCGAACAGG